rnacentral:rRNA from 1 species
UUUCCGUAGGUGAACCUGCGGAAGGAUCAUUAAUGAUUUUUUUAAGCGAUCCGAGCGAUUAAAAGCGAGGAUUGCGAAAUAUUUAAAACCCCACUCUUUUAAACUAUUAUGAAAACGUGAAUUUUUUUUAAAAAAAGAUCACUUUCAACAACGGAUCUCUUGGCUCUCGCAUCGAGGAAGAACGCAGCGAAAUGCGAUAAGUAGUGUGAAUUGCAGAAAUUGUGAAUCAUCGAAUCUUUGAACGCAAAUUGCACUCUCUGGUAUUCCGGAGAGUAUGCCUGUUUGAGGGUCAGUUAAAUAAAAAUCGAUGUUGUUGCCGUCUUGCGUGGUGACGCAUCGGAUGUGGGUCGUCUUACCUUCGGUUAAGUGACCUAAAAUUUUGCAUGAUUUUUUUCGAACGUAUUUAAAUUAUUUACGUGCGUUUGUGAUAAUCAAACAUUAGACGUGAUCAUUCUCAUGAUUCGCGCCUAUGUUUUCUCAUCAAAAUGACCUCAAAUCAGGUGAGAGUACCCGCUGAACUUAA